rnacentral:rRNA from 1 species
AAUGAACGCUGGCGGCAGGCCUAACACAUGCAAGUCGAACGGAUCCUUCGGGAUUAGUGGCGGACGGGUGAGUAACGCGUGGGAACAUACCCAUAGGUACGGAAUAGCCUCGGGAAACUGGGAGUAAUACCGUAUGUGCUCGAAAGAGGAAAGAUUUAUCGCCUUUGGAUUGGCCCGCGUUGGAUUAGGUAGUUGGUGGUGUAAUGGCCUACCAAGCCGACGAUCCAUAGCUGGUUUGAGAGGAUGAUCAGCCACACUGGGACUGAGACACGGCCCAGACUCCUACGGGAGGCAGCAGUGGGGAAUCUUAGACAAUGGGGGAAACCCUGAUCUAGCCAUGCCGCGUGAUCGAUGAAGGCCUUAGGGUUGUAAAGAUCUUUCAGGUGGGAAGAUAAUGACUGUACCACCAGAAGAAGCCCCGGCUAACUCCGUGCCAGCCGCCGCUGUAA